rnacentral:rRNA from 1 species
AUGCUCGGUCUCCUCCCCCCAUUUUCCGCAUCAUUAACCCUAGGCCAAAGGAGGCUGGCGGCUGGCGGCUGGCGACUGGGCAGGACCGUCGAGAAGCUAGCGGCUGGAAACGAGGGUUCAUUGAAGAUGGCAAACGUUCUGCUAGCUGGUCUCCGCGGAGCAAAGCAGCUGGGGAAGAACUUAGGGUCUGCAUACAGAUCACUUUCAUCAGGAUCGUCUCCAAAAUGGGUCGAGCCCGGCUAUGACUUCGGUCGUAAACGUUUUGGGCCAGAUUACGGGGUUACCACCUCAGUUGGUCAAUACGGAUUGCCCAAGUCUGUGGAUUGGAGAGAUGUUCCUUGGGUUCAAAUCCCAGUGAAAAGUCGUUUGAACAGUGGCUCUUCCUAUAUUCAGGCAUCCCUUAUGAGUAUCGAAAGCCUUGUUUCCAUAACAAGUACAAUUCCCAUCGAAUUGUCUGCCCAGCAUAUCCUUGAUGCGAAUACGAUAACUAAUUUUGGAUGCAAGAGUGGAACUGCACCUAACGUAUUCGAUUUUAUCAUGAGGAAUGGGGGAGUAGUUGCAGAGUAUGCUUAUCCUUAUACUGGGAACAGGGGCAUUUGCCAGAAUAUUCAGGCUGAAGGAGUCACCAUUGAGAGUUGGAUAAACGUCCGUCCAGUGGAAGAAGCUUUAAUGUAUGCAGUGGCCCAUCAGCCAGUUGUUGUCAGAGUCGCUGUGGGGAAAGAGUUUGCUAAUUAUUCAACUGGCACUAUCAAAGUCCCAGAAGACCAUGGAAAGACAAAUCAGUCAAUGCUGCUCAUUGGAUAUAACGAAGCUGACUGGUUAUUACUGAAUUCAAAGGGUAAGCGGUGGGGCAUGGAAGGUGCUUGUUGGAUCCCGAGGAAGUCACCAAAUAUUGAUGGAGCUAUUGGAAUUCUAUCUUCGGCCUGUCUUCCACUGAAUCCAUCUUUUGUGUCUGUCACAACGAGAACAGAAAGUUGCCCGCUGCAUUGGAUUGGCAAGAAAUCUCCUUGA